UACUACAGCAUAUAGGAUCAUAGGAAAGUAGUGCUGGAAAGAACAUCACAAGGUCAUCUAGUCCAGCCCCCUGCUCAAAGAAGAAUUAUCCCUGACUGAACCAUCCUAGCCAAUGAGCUGUCUAACCUGCUCAUGAAAACUUCCAAGGAUGGAGAUUCCACAACUUCUCUAGGUAG